AAUAUUACGCGCUGGAGGGCAGCGAAGAGUGUGCUCGGAUUCAGGCACAAAGCUCGAAGGCCAGCCGUCGGGUGAUGCAGAGCCAGCUGAUCAUCACGGAGCGACAGCGGGGGAAGAAAGAAAAGGGAGCAAGCGAUGCUGGAUGAUGUGCGUCAACUGCACAGAAAGGCCAUCAGUGCACGAGCUGAUUGGACACUGUGUGCAAAUGUUACAAAGUGCAUCAGCGGACAAUGACAAUCAGAGGCCUCUGACCUAAAGCUGCAGAGGAGCAGCAAUAGGAUGGUCAUGAUACACAAACAGCUGUCCUUGUCGCAGCACUGUUCCUUUGGCAAUCAUCUUCAUGUUCCUCUGCCAUACUGGACGGCACCAAUCUGUGGGUAGUAAAUCUGCAACUGCCCAGACUCAGCUGCUAGCAUCAACCAAAUCACCACUGGAAUUUGCUGCUACCACUACAGGCGUUUUAAACACCACACCAAUGCCUGCUCUUCAAUAGGAGUAGCAGCGCCUCAGCAGUCGCAUCAAAGCCUGAAAUCCCUGUUUGCACAGGUAUUUUAAGUUUGUUUCUUAGGUUUUCUGCUUUGAUCUGCUGCUGCCAUCAGCACUGUGUGUGCCAGAGUCUGGGACUUUUGUUGCUUAUUUUCAUUCAUUAUGACAGCAUUUUGCCUACACAACAGCAUCAAUCCCAGACUCCUUAUGUUCAGCAAGAUCUUGUAAUGACGUGCUCAGAUGUACAUUUCGUUAUGUUUUGAACCACAGCUCAUAGGCCCUCGGCUUUUUUU